UUAAGCGACUAAGCGUACACGGUGGAUGCCCUGGCAGUCAGAGGCGAUGAAGGACGUGCUAAUCUGCGAUAAGCGCCGGUAAGGUGAUAUGAACCGUUAUAACCGGCGAUUUCCGAAUGGGGAAACCCAGUGUGACUCGUCACACUAUCAUUAACUGAAUCCAUAGGUUAAUGAGGCGAACCGGGGGAACUGAAACAUCUAAGUACCCCGAGGAAAAGAAAUCAACCGAGAUUCCCCCAGUAGCGGCGAGCGAACGGGGAGGAGCCCAGAGCCUGAAUCAGCAUGUGUGUUAGUGGAAGCGUCUGGAAAGGCGCGCGAUACAGGGUGACAGCCCCGUACACAAAAGCGCAUGUGCUGUGAGCUCGAUGAGUAGGGCGGGACACGUGGUAUCCUGUCUGAAUAUGGGGGGACCAUCCUCCAAGGCUAAAUACUCCUGACUGACCGAUAGUGAACCAGUACCGUGAGGGAAAGGCGAAAAGAACCCCGGCGAGGGGAGUGAAAAAGAACCUGAAACCGUGUACGUACAAGCAGUGGGAGCACCCUUUGGGGUGUGACUGCGUACCUUUUGUAUAAUGGGUCAGCGACUUAUAUUCUGUAGCAAGGUUAACCGAAUAGGGGAGCCGGAGGGAAACCGAGUCUUAACCGGGCGUUAAGUUGCAGGGUAUAGACCCGAAACCCGGUGAUCUAGCCAUGGGCAGGUUGAAGGUUGGGUAACACUAACUGGAGGACCGAACCGACUAAUGUUGAAAAAUUAGCGGAUGACCUGUGGCUGGGGGUGAAAGGCCAAUCAAACCGGGAGAUAGCUGGUUCUCCCCGAAAGCUAUUUAGGUAGCGCCUCGUGAAUUCAUCUCCGGGGGUAGAGCACUGUUUCGGCUAGGGGGCCAUCCCGGCUUACCAACCCGAUGCAAACUGCGAAUACCGGAGAAUGUUAUCACGGGAGACACACGGCGGGUGCUAACGUCCGUCGUGAAGAGGGAAACAACCCAGACCGCCAGCUAAGGUCCCAAAGUCAUGGUUAAGUGGGAAACGAUGUGGGAAGGCCCAGACAGCCAGGAUGUUGGCUUAGAAGCAGCCAUCAUUUAAAGAAAGCGUAAUAGCUCACUGGUCGAGUCGGCCUGCGCGGAAGAUGUAACGGGGCUAAACCAUGCACCGAAGCUGCGGCAGCGAACGUAUCACCCAAGACAACUUUGCACAGUUGACGAUUGGCGGAGCGAAGCGACGUCAAAGCGUUUUACAACGUCGAGUUGGCUUAGGGAUACGUUCGUUGGGUAGGGGAGCGUUCUGUAAGCCUGUGAAGGUGGCCUGUGAGGGUUGCUGGAGGUAUCAGAAGUGCGAAUGCUGACAUAAGUAACGAUAAAGCGGGUGAAAAGCCCGCUCGCCGGAAGACCAAGGGUUCCUGUCCAACGUUAAUCGGGGCAGGGUGAGUCGACCCCUAAGGCGAGGCCGAAAGGCGUAGUCGAUGGGAAACGGGUUAAUAUUCCCGUACUUGGUGUUACUGCGAAGGGGGGACGGAGAAGGCUAUGUUGGCCGGGCGACGGUUGUCCCGGUUUAAGCGUGUAGGUGUGUGUUCCAGGUAAAUCCGGUUCACUUUAACACUGAGGCGUGACGACGAGGCACUACGGUGCUGAAGCAACAAAUGCCCUGCUUCCAGGAAAAGCCUCUAAGCAUCAGGUAACACGAAAUCGUACCCCAAACCGACACAGGUGGUCAGGUAGAGAAUACCAAGGCGCUUGAGAGAACUCGGGUGAAGGAACUAGGCAAAAUGGUGCCGUAACUUCGGGAGAAGGCACGCUGACAUGUAGGUGAAGUGAUUUACUCAUGGAGCUGAAGUCAGUCGAAGAUACCAGCUGGCUGCAACUGUUUAUUAAAAACACAGCACUGUGCAAACACGAAAGUGGACGUAUACGGUGUGACGCCUGCCCGGUGCCGGAAGGUUAAUUGAUGGGGUCAGCGCAAGCGAAGCUCCUGAUCGAAGCCCCGGUAAACGGCGGCCGUAACUAUAACGGUCCUAAGGUAGCGAAAUUCCUUGUCGGGUAAGUUCCGACCUGCACGAAUGGCGUAAUGAUGGCCAGGCUGUCUCCACCCGAGACUCAGUGAAAUUGAACUCGCUGUGAAGAUGCAGUGUACCCGCGGCAAGACGGAAAGACCCCGUGAACCUUUACUAUAGCUUGACACUGAACAUUGAGCCUUGAUGUGUAGGAUAGGUGGGAGGCUUUGAAGUGUGGACGCCAGUCUGCAUGGAGCCGACCUUGAAAUACCACCCUUUAAUGUUUGAUGUUCUAACGUGGACCCGUGAUCCGGGUUGCGGACAGUGUCUGGUGGGUAGUUUGACUGGGGCGGUCUCCUCCUAAAGAGUAACGGAGGAGCACGAAGGUUGGCUAAUCCUGGUCGGACAUCAGGAGGUUAGUGCAAUGGCAUAAGCCAGCUUGACUGCGAGCGUGACGGCGCGAGCAGGUGCGAAAGCAGGUCAUAGUGAUCCGGUGGUUCUGAAUGGAAGGGCCAUCGCUCAACGGAUAAAAGGUACUCCGGGGAUAACAGGCUGAUACCGCCCAAGAGUUCAUAUCGACGGCGGUGUUUGGCACCUCGAUGUCGGCUCAUCACAUCCUGGGGCUGAAGUAGGUCCCAAGGGUAUGGCUGUUCGCCAUUUAAAGUGGUACGCGAGCUGGGUUUAGAACGUCGUGAGACAGUUCGGUCCCUAUCUGCCGUGGGCGCUGGAGAACUGAGGGGGGCUGCUCCUAGUACGAGAGGACCGGAGUGGACGCAUCACUGGUGUUCGGGUUGUCAUGCCAAUGGCACUGCCCGGUAGCUAAAUGCGGAAGAGAUAAGUGCUGAAAGCAUCUAAGCACGAAACUUGCCCCGAGAUGAGUUCUCCCUGAGACUUAGAGUCUCCUGAAGGAACGUUGAAGACGACGACGUUGAUAGGCCGGGUGUGUAAGCGCAGCGAUGCGUUGAGCUAACCGGUACUAAUGAACCGUGAGGCUUAACCUU
rnacentral:rRNA from 1 species